rnacentral:rRNA from 1 species
UACGAAGGGGGCUAGCGUUGCUCGGAAUCACUGGGCGUAAGGCGCACGUAGGCGGAUUGUUAAGUCAGGGGUGAAAUCCUGGAGCUCAACUCCAGAACUGCCUUUGAUACUGGCGAUCUCGAGUCCGGGAGAGGUGAGUGGAACUGCGAGUGUAGAGGUGAAAUUCGUAGAUAUUCGCAAGAACACCAGUGGCGAAGGCGGCUCACUGGCCCGGUACUGACGCUGAGGUGCGAAAGCGUGGGGAGCAAACAGG